rnacentral:rRNA from 1 species
UUAAGCGACUAAGCGUACACGGUGGAUGCCCUGGCAGUCAGAGGCGAUGAAGGGCGUGCUAAUCUGCGAUAAGCGCCGGUAAGGUGAUAUGAACCGUUAUAACCGGCGAUACCCGAAUGGGGAAACCCAGUGUGACUCGUCACACUAUCAUUAACUGAAUCCAUAGGUUAAUGAGGCGAACCGGGGGAACUGAAACAUCUAAGUACCCCGAGGAAAAGAAAUCAACCGAGAUUCCCCCAGUAGCGGCGAGCGAACGGGGAGGAGCCCAGAGCCUGAAUCAGCAUGUGUGUUAGUGGAAGCGUCUGGAAAGGCGCGCGAUACAGGGUGACAGCCCCGUACACAAAAGCGCAUGUGCUGUGAGCUCGAUGAGUAGGGCGGGACACGUGGUAUCCUGUCUGAAUAUGGGGGGACCAUCCUCCAAGGCUAAAUACUCCUGACUGACCGAUAGUGAACCAGUACCGUGAGGGAAAGGCGAAAAGAACCCCGGCGAGGGGAGUGAAAAAGAACCUGAAACCGUGUACGUACAAGCAGUGGGAGCACCCUUUGGGGUGUGACUGCGUACCUUUUGUAUAAUGGGUCAGCGACUUAUAUUCUGUAGCAAGGUUAACCGUAUAGGGGAGCCGUAGGGAAACCGAGUCUUAACCGGGCGUUAAGUUGCAGGGUAUAGACCCGAAACCCGGUGAUCUAGCCAUGGGCAGGUUGAAGGUUGGGUAACACUAACUGGAGGACCGAACCGACUAAUGUUGAAAAAUUAGCGGAUGACCUGUGGCUGGGGGUGAAAGGCCAAUCAAACCGGGAGAUAGCUGGUUCUCCCCGAAAGCUAUUUAGGUAGCGCCUCGUGAAUUCAUCUCCGGGGGUAGAGCACUGUUUCGGCUAGGGGGCCAUCCCGGCUUACCAACCCGAUGCAAACUGCGAAUACCGGAGAAUGUUAUCACGGGAGACACACGGCGGGUGCUAACGUCCGUCGUGAAGAGGGAAACAACCCAGACCGCCAGCUAAGGUCCCAAAGUCAUGGUUAAGUGGGAAACGAUGUGGGAAGGCCCAGACAGCCAGGAUGUUGGCUUAGAAGCAGCCAUCAUUUAAAGAAAGCGUAAUAGCUCACUGGUCGAGUCGGCCUGCGCGGAAGAUGUAACGGGGCUAAACCAUGCACCGAAGCUGCGGCAGCGACGCUUAUGCGUUGUUGGGUAGGGGAGCGUUCUGUAAGCCUGUGAAGGUGGCCUGUGAGGGUUGCUGGAGGUAUCAGAAGUGCGAAUGCUGACAUAAGUAACGAUAAAGCGGGUGAAAAGCCCGCUCGCCGGAAGACCAAGGGUUCCUGUCCAACGUUAAUCGGGGCAGGGUGAGUCGACCCCUAAGGCGAGGCCGAAAGGCGUAGUCGAUGGGAAACGGGUUAAUAUUCCCGUACUUGGUGUUACUGCGAAGGGGGGACGGAGAAGGCUAUGUUGGCCGGGCGACGGUUGUCCCGGUUUAAGCGUGUAGGUGUGUGUUCCAGGUAAAUCCGGUUCACUUUAACACUGAGGCGUGACGACGAGGCACUACGGUGCUGAAGCAACAAAUGCCCUGCUUCCAGGAAAAGCCUCUAAGCAUCAGGUAACAUCAAAUCGUACCCCAAACCGACACAGGUGGUCAGGUAGAGAAUACCAAGGCGCUUGAGAGAACUCGGGUGAAGGAACUAGGCAAAAUGGUGCCGUAACUUCGGGAGAAGGCACGCUGACACGUAGGUGAAGUGAUUUACUCAUGGAGCUGAAGUCAGUCGAAGAUACCAGCUGGCUGCAACUGUUUAUUAAAAACACAGCACUGUGCAAACACGAAAGUGGACGUAUACGGUGUGACGCCUGCCCGGUGCCGGAAGGUUAAUUGAUGGGGUCAGCGCAAGCGAAGCUCCUGAUCGAAGCCCCGGUAAACGGCGGCCGUAACUAUAACGGUCCUAAGGUAGCGAAAUUCCUUGUCGGGUAAGUUCCGACCUGCACGAAUGGCGUAAUGAUGGCCAGGCUGUCUCCACCCGAGACUCAGUGAAAUUGAACUCGCUGUGAAGAUGCAGUGUACCCGCGGCAAGACGGAAAGACCCCGUGAACCUUUACUAUAGCUUGACACUGAACAUUGAGCCUUGAUGUGUAGGAUAGGUGGGAGGCUUUGAAGUGUGGACGCCAGUCUGCAUGGAGCCGACCUUGAAAUACCACCCUUUAAUGUUUGAUGUUCUAACGUGGACCCGUAAUCCGGGUUGCGGACAGUGUCUGGUGGGUAGUUUGACUGGGGCGGUCUCCUCCUAAAGAGUAACGGAGGAGCACGAAGGUUGGCUAAUCCUGGUCGGACAUCAGGAGGUUAGUGCAAUGGCAUAAGCCAGCUUGACUGCGAGCGUGACGGCGCGAGCAGGUGCGAAAGCAGGUCAUAGUGAUCCGGUGGUUCUGAAUGGAAGGGCCAUCGCUCAACGGAUAAAAGGUACUCCGGGGAUAACAGGCUGAUACCGCCCAAGAGUUCAUAUCGACGGCGGUGUUUGGCACCUCGAUGUCGGCUCAUCACAUCCUGGGGCUGAAGUAGGUCCCAAGGGUAUGGCUGUUCGCCAUUUAAAGUGGUACGCGAGCUGGGUUUAGAACGUCGUGAGACAGUUCGGUCCCUAUCUGCCGUGGGCGCUGGAGAACUGAGGGGGGGCUGCUCCUAGUACGAGAGGACCGGAGUGGACGCAUCACUGGUGUUCGGGUUGUCAUGCCAAUGGCACUGCCCGGUAGCUAAAUGCGGAAGAGAUAAGUGCUGAAAGCAUCUAAGCACGAAACUUGCCCCGAGAUGAGUUCUCCCUGAGACUUAAAGUCUCCUGAAGGAACGUUGAAGACGACGACGUUGAUAGGCCGGGUGUGUAAGCGCAGCGAUGCGUUGAGCUAACCGGUACUAAUGAACCGUGAGGCUUAACCUU